rnacentral:rRNA from 1 species
UAACUGACACUGAGGAGCGAAAGCGUGGGGAGCGAACAGGAUUAGAUACCCUGGUAGUCCACGCCGUAAACGGUGGGCGCUAGUUGUGGGAACCUUCCACGGUUUCUGCGACGCAGCUAACGCAUUAAGCGCCCCGCCUGGGGAGUACGAUCGCAAGAUUAAAACUCAAAGGAAUUGACGGGGCCCCGCACAAGCAGCGGAGCAUGCGGCUUAAUUCGACGCAACGCGAAGAACCUUACCAAGGCUUGACAUAUACAGGAAUAUGGCAGAGAUGUCAUAGCGGUAAAACGUCUGUAUACAGGUGGUGCAUGGUUGUCGUCAGCUCGUGUCGUGAGAUGUUGGGUUAAGUCCCGCAACGAGCGCAACCCUCGUUCUGUGUUGCCAGCAUUUAGUUGGGGACUCACAGGAGACUGCCGGGGUUAACUCGGAGGAAGGUGGGGAUGACGUCAAAUCAUCAUGCCCCUUAUGUCUUGGGCUGCACGCAUGCUACAAUGGCUGGUACAAAGGGCUGCAAUACUGCAAAGUGGAGCGAAUCCCAAAAAGCCAGUCUCAGUUCGGAUUGGGGUCUGCAACUCGACCCCAUGAAGUCGGAGUUGCUAGUAAUCGUAGAUCAGCAACGCUACGGUGAUACGUUCCCGGGGCUUGUACACACCGCCCGUCACAUCACGAAAGUCGGUAACACCCAAAAGUCAGUGGCCCAAC